UCGUCAACAAUUUGACUGUUAACACUCUAGAGGUCACAAUUUUGGCCCAAUCUUAAUGAAACUUGGUCAGAAUGUUACCCUCAAUAAAAUCUUGGACGAGUUCGAUAUU